UACGAAGGGGGCUAGCGUUGUUCGGAAUUACUGGGCGUAAAGCGCGCGCAGGCGGCUAUCCAAGUCAGUGGUGAAAGCCCGGAGCUCAACUCCGGAACUGCCAUUGAAACUGUUUAGCUUGAGGACGAGAGAGGUGAGUGGAAUUCCCAGUGUAGAGGUGAAAUUCGUAGAUAUUGGGAAGAACACCGGUGGCGAAGGCGGCUCACUGGCUCGUAUCUGACGCUCAGGCGCGACAGCGUGGGGAGCAAACAGG
rnacentral:rRNA from 1 species